ACACACACACACACACACACACACAAACACACACACAGACGCACACACGGACACACACACAAACACUCAGUGCAAGUCCACACUCACCCAAACGCUCCUUCUCUGUGGCAACACAUGGUUUCUAAUAACUGGAACGAGUGAUAAAUUCUUCGACCACCUUGUCAUUUGGCUACAACCAAGCCAAGCUGACGGCCAAAUGGCCUAGUGUGAGUGCACCCAACAGUAGCUUGAGUCAGUUUACCUUCACACAUACAACCACAGGCACCGUCAGCCUUCAUCAUCUGUCAUUUUCUCAAGGCAUGGUUGAAUAUUUUUCUGCACCUCUGCAUUGGACCCCCGGUAUGACUUCUGAUGUGAAAUGUAAAGCAAUGUAAAUUUGUUUUUACAGUGCGAGGACCAAAUGUCAUUCAGGCAUGGAUCGAUGGUCAUCUUUGUGUAAUUUCACUAAUACAGCACUAACUGUCAGAAAUCUCAUGACCUCGUCUAGGUCUAGUCGUAUUCCUUGAUUCGUAUUACUGUCCUGUACUACACACUUAUUGUAUGUUGUGCGUCCUGGCACUUAAAGCAUUGUGUAGUGUCUUAUCACAGCUAGCUUUGAUGUAUACAGGGAAUGGGUUUACCUACCCAUUCUAAAUGCAUAGCACUUGUUUGUAUGAAUACCUAAAUGUAAUGGUAUUAUGGUAUGGUAUAUAAAUGUAAAUGUAAAUUACUUUAUAUUUGAUUUUAUGCUUUCCCGGUUCUAAAGAAAUGUAUUAGUCAUCUGGUGCAAUGUUGAAGGCUUCCCAUCCGCUUGCAUUCCCAAAGCAAUCUGUGUGAAUAAUUGAAGCGUGAAAAACAGCAGACGGAGCCACGGGAUACGGCCACAAGAGCUCCUGGUGCCAUGCAGGAUCUGUGGGGCUGGCAUGUGGAGCUGCAGCUUUGGAGAGAGGCCGAGAUAGUUCAUUGGCAUGUGCCACCGUGACCACUGACACCGCGACCAGGGUUCAGGAACGGCACAUGCAGGAGCGUGCGCCUGGCGCGAGUCACCCCAAUCAUGCCAUAAACUGUUAUAAAACAGAGCAGGUGGAGGCUGUGGGUGGUGGUGCUAGUUGAAAUCAAGAGUGUAUGUUGGACGGAAGUAUUUAAAUGGACUAUACUGUAGACGAGUGGGUCAGGCCAACGCGUCAUUGGUCACCUGAUGGGCUUUGCACGAUUGGAGUUUCCCGGCAUUUCCCCCCUGCUCGGCCCCAGUUUCCUGUUUAAUCUCAGCCAAAGCCAUCAGAGCAUUCAGAGUAUUUCUAAAUGUAGCUAUAAGUCAAAUUGACAUCAUCAAGGUUUAGUGAAAACAUAAACGUCAUACUAUUGUAUAACUAGUAUUUAAACAUUGAUGAAUAAUGGACAACAUGUAAUGAAUUAAAUAAAGUGACACAGACAUGGCAGUUGUCU
ensembl:lncRNA